UGGCGGAAUUGGUAGACGCGCUAGCUUCAGGUGCUAGUGUCCUUACGGACGUGGAGGUUCAAGUCCUCU
rfam:Halomonas ilicicola DSM 19980 genome assembly, contig: EJ56DRAFT_scaffold00002.2